rnacentral:rRNA from 1 species
UGAGGAACAUGACUUUCGGUGGGGGAGUAGCCGGCCCAACGGCCGGGUAAUACCGCGUACGACCUGUUGGGGACAUCCCCGAUUGGUGAAAGCAGCAAUGCGCCGAAAGAGUGCCUCGCGGCCUAUCAGCUAGUUGGUGGGGUAAUGGCUCACCAAGGCGACGACGGGUAGCUGGUCUGAGAGGAUGGCCAGCCACAGUUGGGACUGAGACACGGCCUAGACCUCCCGUACGGGGAGGNACGCG